rnacentral:rRNA from 1 species
UACGGGGGGGGCAAGCGUUGUUCGGAAUUACUGGGCGUAAAGGGCUCGUAGGCGGCCAACUAAGUCGGAUGUGAAAUCCCCGGGCUCAACCUGGGAACUGCAUCUGUGACUGCAUCGCUGGAGUGCGGCAGAGGGGGAUGGAAUUCCGCGUGUAGCAGUGAAAUGCGUAGAUAUGCGGAGGAACACCGAUGGCGAAGGCAAUCCCCUGGGCCUGCACUGACGCUCAUGCACGAAAGCGUGGGGAGCAAACAGG